AGGACGAACGCUGGCGGCGUGCUUAACACAUGCAAGUCGAGCGGAAAGGCCCUUCGGGGUACUCGAGCGGCGAACGGGUGAGUAACACGUGAGCAACCUGCCCCUGGCUCUGGGAUAGCCUUCGGAAACGGGGAUUAAUACCGGAUAUUCACUGCUUCCUGCAUGGGGGUGGUGGAAAGUUUUUCGGCUGGGGUGGGGCUCGCGGCCUAUCAGCUUGUUGGGGGGUGACGGCCCACCAAGGCGACGACGGGUA
rnacentral:rRNA from 1 species